rnacentral:rRNA from 1 species
ACGGAAGGCAGCAGUGGGGAAUAUUGCACAAUGGGGGAAACCCUGAUGCAGCGACGCCGCGUGAGCGAAGAAGUAUUUCGGUAUGUAAAGCUCUAUCAGCAGGAAAGAAAAUGAUGGUACCUGACUAAGAAGCCCCGGCUAACUACGUGCCAGCAGCCGCGGUAAUACGUAGGGGGCAAGCGUUAUCCGGAUUUACUGGGUGUAAAGGGAGCGUAGACGGCUUUGCAAGUCUGAAGUGAAAGCCCGGGGCUCAACCCCGGAACUGCUUUGGAAACUGUAGAGCUAGAGUGCAGGAGAGGUAAGUGGAAUUCCUAGUGUAGCGGUGAAAUGCGUAGAUAUUAGGAGGAACACCAGUGGCGAAGGCGGCUUACUGGACUGUAACUGACGUUGAGGCUCGAAGGCGUGGGGAGCAAACAGAAUUAGAUACCCUGGUA